rnacentral:rRNA from 1 species
UACGGGGGGGGCGAGUGUUAUUCGGAAUGACUAGGCGUAAAGGGCAUGUAGGCAGUGUAUUUGGCUGAAAGCAAAAGCCACUAGCUUCACUAGUGGGUGACUUUUCCACAUGAAAAAAAAUGGUACCAAUUCACUGGAGUAAGAUAGAGGAAAAUGGAAUUUCGUGUGUAGAGAUAAAAUGCAUAGAUAUACGAAGGAACGCCAAAAGCGAAGGCAAUUUUCUAAGUCUUUACUGACGCUGAGGUGCGAAAGCAUGGGGAGCAACCAGG